rnacentral:rRNA from 9 species
GCGACCCCAGGUCAGGCGGGACUACCCGC